rnacentral:rRNA from 1 species
UACGUAGGGUGCAAGCGUUAAUCGGAAUUACUGGGCGUAAAGCGUGCGCAGGCGGUUGUGUAAGACAGAUGUGAAAUCCCCGGGCUCAACCUGGGAACUGCAUUUGUGACUGCACAGCUGGAGUGCGGCAGAGGGGAUGGAAUUCCGCGUGUAAGCAGUGAAAUGCGUAGAUAUGCGGAGGAACACCGAUGGCGAAGGCAAUCCCUCGGGCCUGCACUGACGCUCAUGCACGAAAG